AUUGAACGCUGGCGGCAGGCCUAAUACAUGCAAGUCGGACGGGAUUUGGGAGCUUGCUCCCAAUGAGAGUGGCGCACGGGUGCGUAACACGUAUGUAACCUACCUUAAUCGGGGGGAUAGCCUCUCGAAAGAGAGAUUAACACCGCAUAAUAUAUUUUUAUGGCAUCGUAGAAAUAUCAAAUAUUUAUAGGAUUAAGAUGGGCAUGCGGAACAUUAGCUAGUUGGUAAGGUAACGGCUUACCAAGGCUACGAUGUUUAGGGGAUCUGAGAGGAUGACCCCCCACACUGGUACUGAGACACGGACCAGACUCCUACGGGAGGCAGCAGUAAGGAAUAUUGGUCAAUGGGCGCAAGCCUGAACCAGCCAUGCCGCGUGCAGGAAGACGGCCCUAUGGGUUGUAAACUGCUUUUGUACCGGAAUAAACCCUUUUACGUGUAAAAGGCUGAAUGUACGGUAAGAAUAAGGAUCGGCUAACUCCGUGCCAGCCGCCGCAGUAA
rnacentral:rRNA from 1 species